GACGAACGCUGGCGGCGUGCUUAACACAUGCAAGUCGAACGGAAAGGCCCUGCUUUUGUGGGGUGCUCGAGUGGCGAACGGGUGAGUAACACGUGAGUAACCUGCCCUUGACUUUGGGAUAACUUCAGGAAACUGGGGCUAAUACCGGAUAGGAGCUCCUGCUGCAUGGUGGGGGUUGGAAAGUUUCGGCGGUUGGGGAUGGACUCGCGGCUUAUCAGCUUGUUGGUGGGGUAGUGGCUUACCAAGGCUUUGACGGGUAGCCGGCCUGAGAGGGUGACCGGCCACAUUGGGACUGAGAUACGGCCCAGACUCCUACGGGAGGCAGCAGUGGAGAAUAUUGCACAAUGGGCGGAAGCCUGAGGCAGCAACGCCGCGUGCGGGAUGACGGACUUCAGGUUGUAAACCGCUUUCGCCUGUGACGGAGCGUGAGUGACGGUAAUGAGUAAAGAAGCACCGGCUAACUACGUG
rnacentral:rRNA from 1 species